UACGGGGGGGGCAAGCGUUGUUCGGAAUUACUGGGCGUAAAGGGCUCGUAGGCGGCCCACUAAGUCAGACGUGAAAUCCCUCGGCUUAACCGGGGAACUGCGUCUGAUACUGGAGGGCUUGAGUUCGGGAGAGGGAUGCGGAAUUCCAGGUGUAGCGGUGAAAUGCGUAGAUAUCUGGAGGAACACCGGUGGCGAAGGCGGCGAUCUGGCCCAACACUGACACUCAGACCCGAAAGUGCGGGGAUCAAACAGG
rnacentral:rRNA from 1 species